GUUGGUUAUGGACCAGUGCUAUUCCUCAGAACCCUGGCAUCUAAUUUGUAUGGAGCUCUUUGUUUGUACUUGCCAAUUUGCGGUUUUGAUUGUGUUGUUUUUACGUUGUAGUGCUGAAAGACGUGUGCAGUUGUCUUUGGACCCCACCUGUCUUGUUCUAUAUUUUGUCUGGUGUGAUACUUUGUGUGGACCUCUGGAAGAGUAGCUGCUGCUUUUCUCUGUGGCUUAGCAGGACCCUAACCAUUGUUGCCUUUCAUGAACUGAUCCCUGCUAAGCUUGUAGUGUUCACAUUGAACGGUUUGUGUUCAGAAGUGCUGCGGUGAUCGUUACUGUGCGCUGGAGACACGGGGCAGCUCUGCAGGCUGGGUUACUGGGCUGGCGCACGCUCCAUUCAUCUGAAUUAAAGUGGACCUGCGAAAU
ensembl:lncRNA